CCUACGGGUGGCUGCAGUGGGGAAUAUUGCGCAAUGGGCGAAAGCCUGACGCAGCGACGCCGCGUGAGGGAUGAAGGUCUUCGGAUCGUAAACCUCUGUCAGCAGGGAAGAACGGUCACGGUGCUAAUCAGCAGUGAAUUGACGGUACCGGCAAAGGAAGCACCGGCUAACGCCGUGCCAGCAGCCGCGGUAAUACGGAGGGUGCGAGCGUUAAGCGGAAUUACUGGGCGUAAAGCGCUCGUCGGUGGUAUGUCAAGUCAAGGGUGAAAUCCCCGCGCUCAACGUGGGAACUGCCUUUGAAACUGGCAACCUGGAGUGUGUGAGAGUCUAGUGGAAUUCCAGGUGUAGUCG
rnacentral:rRNA from 1 species